GCGUUCUUAAAGUGAAUGCGAACUGCUGCGGUGCUCUUGUCUGAAGUAAGCUGUGCAGAGCAGGACUGCCUGAGCUAGCACGUGGCACGUCGAGGCACUGCCGUUUUCCACACCGAACAAGAAUGGGAUCCUGAAGCCCUCUGGUGGAUGUGCUGCAGAAGGCAGAGAGCUGAGGAGAGAGUUAUGGUUCUGUUAAGGAAGCCUCUGGCGUGGCUGUAGGGGAAUGUUCAGGAACCAUUGUGAUGAAUUCCAAUUAAGACUCUUCCUGACACCAGGGGAUGCAGAAGUCAAAGAAUGCCCUGAGCAGCACAGCAUAAGACUGCGUGGAGCACAGAUAAAGGUUUUAACAGAUCUGCCCUGUGCAAGCCAUCCAGCUUCUAGCCCCCAUCCUGCUGGGCCAAAAGGACAUGAGAGCUGCAGAGAACAGGACUCAAAAGUGCUGCCCAGUUUUUAAUAGCAUGGUCCCUGUUCUUCCCAGCAAAGUAUGGCAUUGGAGAACUCACAAGAUUCCUCCCUCUCAAAAAAAAACCAAAAAAAAACAAAAAAAAAACCAACAAACAAACAAACAAGAAAAACUGUUACAGGAGAAGAUGCACAGCAUUUCUGCUUGGUCCAUUAGAUAAAGCAACCAUAGCAGAAGAGCUGAGAAUGAUGUGAAAGAAAUGAAGGGAGAGCUAAAGAAGAAGAACAAAGAAAUGAAGAGCUAUUUGUGAGAAAAAUAAAAAGAGAGAAAUGUAAUGGAAAUGUUCAUUAUUAUUCAGAAUAAUACUUAGCACUGCAACAGAAUUUUCUUUCCAGGAUCUUAAAGGUGAGCUGGUGCUAAUUAAUUCAGCUGCACCGUACCUCUGUGGACUAGGAACUACUGUUAUCCCCAUUUUACAGAAGAUUGGAGUUGAGACAUAAGGGAGAAAUUGAACUUGACAAAGGUUCACUGGAGCCAGGUGGAGAACUGGGGAGUCUGAACUCCCAGAUACCUACUCCCAUACCAGUAAUGCUGAUCUGGAUAGAAAAGUGCCCUGGGAAUGAAAAACAGUAAAAGAGAGAGAUAGAAGUGAAUUAGAGUAUGAGAAAGAAAUGAGAGAAAGGGAAGA